GAUUACCCCGCGAACUUAAGCAUAUCACUAAGCGGAGGAAAAGAAACUAACCAGGAUUCCCCUAGUAACGGCGAGUGAAGAGGGAAUAGCCCAGCACCGAAGCCUGCGGUAGGUUUACUGCUAGGCAAUGUGGUGUUUGGGUCGACUCGCGGGAUUGCCACUCCACUCGAAGUCCAGCACUGAGUAUGGUUCCCUGGAUUUGGCCCAGAGAGGGUGAAAGGCCCGUGCGAGUGGAGGUUCAGACAUGUGAGGCAAUUCACCAGGUCGACCUUCGAGUCGGGGUGUUUGGGAAUGCAGC
rnacentral:rRNA from 1 species